GACGAACGCUGGCGGCGUGCCUAAUACAUGCAAGUAGAACGCUGAAGAGAGGAGCUUGCUCUUCUUGGAUGAGUUGCGAACGGGUGAGUAACGCGUAGGUAGCCUGCCUUGUAGCGGGGGAUAACUAUUGGAAACGAUAGCUAAUACCGCAUAACAAUAGGUGACACAUGUCAUUUAUUUGAAAGGGGCAAUUGCUCCACUACAAGAUGGACCUGCGUUGUAUUAGCUAGUAGGUGAGGUAACGGCUCACCUAGGCGACGAUACAUAGCCGACCUGAGAGGGUGAUCGGCCACACUGGGACUGAGACACGGCCCAGACUCCUACGGGAGGCAGCAGUAGGGAAUCUUCGGCAAUGGGGGCAACCCUGACCGAGCAACGCCGCGUGAGUGAAGAAGGUUGUCGGAUCGUAAAGCUCUGUUGUAAGUCAAGAACGAGUGUGAGAGUGGAAAGUUCACACUGUGACGGUAGCUUACCAGAAAGGGACGGCUAACUACGUG
rnacentral:rRNA from 1 species